UGCAUUACUUUGAUAUUUGGUUACAGGCCAGACACACAGACUCCAAUUGAGGAGACUGUGAGGGCAAUGAAUUAUGUGAUUGAUAAGGGUGGGCAUUUUAUUGGGGGACAAGUGAGUGGUCUGCACAACAGAUUACGGAAGCAUGGAAAGUAGCUGAGAGGUUGGAGUCCGCUUGCUUCUGGAGUGCUUACUGGAAAAUACAACAAAGGAAAUAUACCACCUGACAGUCCGUUUGCUUUGGAAAAUUUCAAAAAUCUUGCUAACCGAUCACUAAUUGAUGAUAUGUUGAGGAAAGUUAAUGGACUGAAGCCAAUUGCUGAUGAACUUGGUAUACCAUUAGCUCCACUUGCAAUCGCAUGGUGUGCUGCAAAUCCUAACGUAUCUUCGGUUAUUACUGCUGCUACAAAGGAAUCUCAGAUUCAAGAGAACAUGAAGACACUUGAUGUAAUCUCAUUACUGACUCCAGAUCAUCCAACUCAAAUGCUAGUUUUUUUUAGUUUACCUUCUGAUGUGCGGUUGGAAUGGGUUAGAAGAUUUC